UUUUUCUCUCCCCAUUUCUUCGUCCUUUCUGUUGAUUUCAACAUUUUUUAGAGGAAAUUUAAAGUAUCUUCUCACAAGUAGUUUUAAGAAUGGAUGAUUUACAACAUAACCCUACUAUAGAGGGGCAGGCGAGAAAUGAAGAGGGAAACACGGAUGGAGACAGGAAGACAAGCUGUGUCCCUUUCUUACCUGUCCAUGAAUGACAUGGCUAGAAAACAGCAAGGUUAAUCUGCAUUUAAUGAUCCCAGCAUGCUUUGGGAGGCCGAGGCGGGCGGAUCACUUGAGGUCAGGAGUUCGA
rnacentral:lncRNA from 10 species